GCCGAAGUGGCGGAAUUGGUAGACGCACAGGACUUAAAAUCCUGCGAUCCGUGAGGUUCGUACCGGUUCGAUCCCGGUCUUCGGCACCA
rnacentral:tRNA from 1 species